rnacentral:rRNA from 1 species
GAUGAACGCUGGCGGCGUGCUUAACACAUGCAAGUCGAACGAAGCAUUUGCGACAGCUUUAUUCGGAAUGAAGUUGCUUAUGACUGAGUGGCGGACGGGUGAGUAACGCGUGGGUAACCUGCCUUGUACUGGGGGAUAGCAGCUGGAAACGGCUGGUAAUACCGCAUAAGCGCACAGUGUUGCAUGACAUGGUGUGAAAAACUCCGGUGGUAUAAGAUGGACCCGCGUCUGAUUAGCUAGUUGGUGAGAUAACAGCCCACCAAGGCGACGAUCAGUAGCCGACCUGAGAGGGUGACCGGCCACAUUGGGACUGAGACACGGCCCAGACUCCUACGGGAGGCAGCAGUGGGGAAUAUUGCACAAUGGAGGAAACUCUGAUGCAGCGACGCCGCGUGAGUGAAGAAGUAAUUAGUUAUGUAAAGCUCUAUCAGCAGGGAAGAUAGUGACGGUACCUGACCAAGAAGCUCCGGCUAAAUACGUG